GAUUAACGCUGGCGGUGUGUCUAAUACAUGCAAGUCGCGCGAGGGUUCGACCCGAGCGGCGGACGAGCGAGUAACACGUGGGCAACCUGCCCUUCACUUCGGGAUAACUCCGGGAAACCGGGGCUAAUACCGGAUAUGACCUCUGCGGGCAUCCGCGGAGGUGGAAAGUUUUUCGGUGAAGGAUGGGCCCGCGGCCUAUCAGCUUGUUGGUGAGGUAGUGGCUCACCAAGGCGACGACGGGUAGCCGGCCUGAGAGGGCGACCGGCCACACUGGGACUGAGACACGGCCCAGACUCCUACGGGAGGCAGCAGUGGGGAAUAUUGCGCAAUGGGCGAAAGCCUGACGCAGCAACGCCGCGUGCGGGAUGACGGCCUUCGGGUUGUAAACCGCUUUCAGCAGGGAAGAAGCCGCAAGGUGACGGUACCUGCAGAAGAAGCACCGGCUAACUACGUGCCAGCCGCCGCCGUAA
rnacentral:rRNA from 1 species